rnacentral:lncRNA from 1 species
CGUUUUUCACCCUCAGGAGCACCUAUGGUUCUGGGUCUCAGCUGAGGCGGGAAAUACAGCCCACGCUGUACAAGGCCCGACUCAGUGCACAUGCCUCUUGCUGCUCAGGCGCAUUGCUGCGCAUGCGCCUUGCUGUCCGCGUCCUGAGGGCAGAGCUGAGACGCAGGUGGUCGAGUUUCUUCCUUCCUGAUUCUUUCUCACUAGCGGGGACCCAACUGGCAUGUCCGCGGAGCAGUCCUUCCAGGAGUCUAACCUGUGAAAUAUGUGUGAGCAAGUAAGAUCAAUAUCCAAAUCUAGAGGAAAAGGAGAUGAUCAAGAAUCUUUCUUAGCCGAUUGGACGUGUGAUUGCCCAGAAACUCAGCGAUGAACAACCUCAACAAGAAAAACCAUCAACUGAAAGUCAGAAUAUUACACCUGGUCAGGAGAGAGAUGAUGAUGGAGCACCUGUGGUUGAUGGUAAUGGAUGGAGAAAGAAGAAUCACUAUGAAUGGAGGAGGUGUAAAGAGAUAUUAUAGGUUCAAACGAAGAUAAGCUGAAGCCAAGCAUACUUCCA